ACCGGAGAAGUUGAGAAUCCCGCCGUUGUGAUGCCGCCGGUAGAGGCUCCGAAGGUUGAGAAGCAGGCUCCGGCGACGGGGAAGCCUGUUAAGGAGAAGAAACCUAGGGCUAAGAAGGCUAAAUCUGCUAAGACUGUUACUCAUCCUCCUUAUUUUCAGGUAUUUAUUCUCUAAAUAAUAGCUAAUUUUACAUAUAAUUACGUUUCGUGCAAAUUUUGAGGUUGAUCAAGUGUUUUUUUGGAUGAAUUUUUUGCAGAUGAUUAAGGAGGCUCUGUUGGCUCUGAAUGAAAAAGGUGGAUCGAGUCCACACGCAGUUGCAAAGUACAUGGAAGACAAACACAAGGAUGAGUUACCAGCGAAUUUCAGGAAAAUGCUUGGUCUUCAGUUGAAGAAUUCUGCUGCUAAGGGAAAGCUUAUCAAAAUCAAGGCUUCAUACAAGCUAUCUGAGGCUGGUAAGAAGGGAACAACAACAAAAGCAUCUACCCAAAAGGUUCCAAAGGCUGAUUCUAAGAGGAAAACUAGAAGCACCAGGUCCGUGUCCGCUGUAGUAAAGAAAACAGAGGCGGCGAAGAAGGCAAAAGCUACGCAGAAGCCGAAGAAGGCUGGAGUUGGAGCAAAGAGGGCAAGGAAGU
rnacentral:lncRNA from 1 species